rnacentral:rRNA from 1 species
ACGGAAGGCAGCAGUGGGGAAUACUGGGCAAUGGGCGAAAGCCUGACCCAGCAACGCCGCGUGAAGGAAGAAGGUCUUCGGAUUGUAAACUUCUUUUAUGAGGGACGAAGGAUUUGACGGUACCUCAUGAAUAAGCCACGGCUAACUACGUGCCAGCAGCCGCGGUAAUACGUAGGUGGCAAGCGUUAUCCGGAUUUACUGGGUGUAAAGGGCGCGUAGGCGGGGUGGCAAGUCAGAUGUGAAAUCCAUGGGCUCAACUCAUGAACUGCAUUUGAAACUGUCACUCUUGAGUGUCGGAGAGGUAGAUGGAAUUCCUAGUGUAGCGGUGAAAUGCGUAGAUAUUAGGAAGAACACCAGUGGCGAAGGCGAUCUACUGGACGAUAACUGACGCUGAGGCGCGAAAGCGUGGGGAGCAAACAGGAUUAGAUACCCUGGUA